rnacentral:misc_RNA from 1 species
AGGUAAUUUAAUUGAAUUAUGGAGAAUUUAUUAUAAUUAAGUGAUUUAGUUAUUUUCUUAAUUAUUAUGUAAAAAUUUUAAAUAAAAAAUAAACGUAGAUAGUAAUUACAUGCAAAUUUUAAAUUUUCUUUAUUAAGAUUUAAAUUUAUUGGCAAAGAAAAAUUUGAAUUUUUAUGCAUGCUAUAAUUUUCUACCCUUCAAAUGAAACUUCAAAAACAUGCUACGCAGGCCCUCAUAUUGGCCGGAACAGA